rnacentral:rRNA from 1 species
UACGAAGGGGGCUAGCGUUGCUCGGAAUCACUGGGCGUAAAGCGCACGUAGGCGGAUCUUUAAGUCAGGGGUGAAAUCCUGGAGCUCAACUCCAGAACUGCCUUUGAUACUGGGGAUCUCGAGUCCGGAAGAGGUGAGUGGAACUCCGAGUGUAGAGGUGAAAUUCGUAGAUAUUCGGAAGAACACCAGUGGCGAAGGCGGCUCACUGGCCCGGUACUGACGCUGAUGCGCGAAAGCCAGGGGAGCGAACGGG